rnacentral:rRNA from 1 species
CAUCGGUCUAGCAAGUUCACACUCAAGCAAAAUGAUUUUUAGUUUGACACCCCGAAACUAGUAGAGCUACUCCGAGGCAGCUAAUAGAGCCAACCCUUCUCUGUGGCAAAAGAGUGGGAAGACCCCCGAGUAGCGGUGACAGACCUAACGAGUCUAGUGAUAGCUGGUUGCUCANAAAAAGAAUAUUAGUUCUGCUCUAAACCUAUUAAAAGCAAACUAAGCAUAAAAUAAGAUUUAGAAGUUAUUCAAUAAGGGUACAGCCUUAUUGAAUUAGGACACAACCUACUCAGAUGGGUUAUAACUACAACCACCAAGGCAAGUGACUAAGUAGGCUUAAAAGCAGCCACCUAUUAAGAAAGCGUCAAAGCUCACCCACAAUAACCCCUAAAAUCCCAGCAUUUACAAUAAAACCCUCACUCACUACUGAGCUGCUCCAUACUCCUAUGGAGCUAUUAAUGCUAGAACUAGUAACAAGAGCACAAACCUCUCUAACAAUGCAAACCUAAGUCAGAUCGAACACCUCACUGACAAUUAACGUCAGCCAUAGAGCCAAAAUAGAAACCAAACAAGAAAACCCUAUUAAAAACACCGUUAACCUAACACAAGAGCAUUAAAAGAAAGAUAUAAAGACGCAUAAGGAACUCGGCAAACACGAACCCCGCCUGUUUAC